UACGUAGGGACCAAGCGUUGUCCGGAAUUAUUGGGCGUAAAGAGCUCGUAGGCGGCCGUUCACGUCGGAUGUGAAAGCUCGGGGCUCAACCCUGAGAGGCCAUUCGAUACGGGACGGCUAGAGGUAGGUAGGGGAAAGUGGAAUUCCUGGUGUAGCGGUGAAAUGCGCAGAUAUCAGGAGGAACACCGGUGGCGAAGGCGGCUUUCUGGGCCUUACCUGACGCUGAGGAGCGAAAGCUGGGGGAGCAAACAGG
rnacentral:rRNA from 1 species